rnacentral:rRNA from 1 species
UACAGAGGGGGCAAGCGUUGUUCGGAAUUACUGGGCGUAAAGGGCGCGUAGGCGGCCUGUUAAGUCGGCUGUGAAAUCCCCGGGCUCAACCCGGGAACUGCGUCCGAUACUGGCAGGCUUGAAUUCGGGAGAGGGAUGCGGAAUUCCAGGUGUAGCGGUGAAAUGCGUAGAUAUCUGGAGGAACACCGGUGGCGAAGGCGGCACCCUGGACCGAGAUUGACGCUGAUGCGCGAAAGCCAGGGGAGCAAACGGG